rnacentral:lncRNA from 1 species
GAAUAAAAGCUGUUGAGGGGAGAGAAGGAAGCAGCAAUGGGCAGAGGAAGAAAUUCUCAGUCUAUCCCACAGGAAACUUCAUCCUCGGAGGGUAGAGGGACCUCUCCCUUGAAGGAUCCUUUUCUCCUGCUUUUCUGCUCAAGGCCACAAUCAUUGGUCUUCACACGCCUUUCUGAUUGUCUUCAUACCCCCCUGAAGUGCUCCUGCGGUGACUGAAGUGCUGACUGAUGAUGAGGUGUUGGGUCUGCUGAUCGCCCUCAGUAACUAGCGUUGGACUCAUGGUGCGCGCAGCUGGGUGGAAGAAGGAUUCUUGUCACAAAGGAAUUCCACUGCAGCUCAGUCCGGUCUGAGGAAGCGUACGUGUUGACCUGUUGUAACUGCAUUGAUUAAGAUGUGGGUUUUGUCGGGGUGCCUGGGUGGCACAGCGGUUAAGUGUCUGCCUUCGGCUCUGGGCAUGAUCCUAGCGUUAUGGGAUCGAGCCCCACAUCAGGCUCCUCCGCUAUGAGCCUGCUUCUUCCUCUCCCACUCCCCCUGCUUGUGUUCCUUUUCUCGCUGGCUGUCUCUAUCUCUGUCGAAUAAAUAAAAAUAAAAUCUUUAAAAAAAAAAAAGA